rnacentral:rRNA from 1 species
GAUGAACGCUGGCGGCGUGCCUAAUACAUGCAAGUCGAGCGAACGGACGAGAAGCUUGCGUCUCUGAUGUUAGCGGCGGACGGGAGAGUAACACGUGGAUAACCUACCUAUCAGACUGGGAUAACUUCGGGAAACCGGAUCUAAUACCGGAUGAUAUUUUGAACCGCAUGGUUCAAAAGUGAAAGACGGUCUUGCUGUCACUUAUAGAUGGAUCCGCGCUUCAUUAGCUAGUUGGUAAGGUAACGGCCUACCAAGGCAACGAUGCGUAGCCGACCUGUGAGGCUGAUAGGCCACACUGGAACUGGGACGCGGUCCAGGCUACUACGGGAGGCAGCAGUAGCGAAUCGUCCGCAGUGGGCGAGAGCCUGACGGAGCAACGCCGCGCGAGUGAUGAAGGUCUUCGGAUCGUAAAACUCUGUUAUUAGGGAAGAACAUAUGUGGCAUUAACUGUGCACAUCUUGACGGUACCUAAUCAGAAAGCCCCGGCUAACUACGUG